UACGGAGGGGGGCUGAGCGUUGUCCGGAAUUACUGGGCGGUAAAGGGCGAGUAGGCGGUUUAUUAAGUCUGUGGUGAAAGUGCGGGGCUCAACCCCGUAUGGCCACAGAAACUGAUCGACUAGAGUACAGGAGAGGGCAGUGGAAUUCCAUGUGUAGCGGUAAAAUGCGUAGAUAUAAGUGGAGGAACACCGGUGGCGAAGGCGGCUGCC
rnacentral:rRNA from 1 species